rnacentral:rRNA from 1 species
GAUGAACGCUGGCGGCGUGCCUAAUACAUGCAAGUCGAGCGAACAGAUAAGGAGCUUGCUCCUUUGAAGUUAGCGGCGGACGGGUGAGUAACACGUGGGUAACCUACCUAUAAGACUGGGAUAACUUCGGGAAACCGGAGCUAAUACCGGAUAACAUUUAGAACCGCAUGGUUCUAAAGUGAAAGAUGGUUUUGCUAUCACUUAUAGAUGGACCCGCGCCGUAUUAGCUAGUUGGUAAGGUAACGGCUUACCAAGGCGACGAUACGUAGCCGACCUGAGAGGGUGAUCGGCCACACUGGAACUGAGACACGGUCCAGACUCCUACGGGAGGCAGCAGUAGGGAAUCUUCCGCAAUGGGCAAAGCCUGACGGAGCAACGACGCGUGAGUGAUGAAGGGUUUCGGCUCGUAAAACUCUGUUAUUAGGGAAGAACAAAUGUGUAAGUAACUGUGCACAUCUUGACGGUACCUAAUCAGAAAGCCACGGCUAACUACGUGCCAGCAGCCGCGGUAAUACGUAGGUGGCAAGCGUUAUCCGGAAUUAUUGGGCGUAAAGCGCGCGUAGGCGGUUUCUUAAGUCUGAUGUGAAAGCCCACGGCUCAACCGUGGAGGGUCAUUGGAAACUGGGAAACUUGAGUGCAGAAGAGGAAAGUGGAAUUCCAUGUGUAGCGGUGAAAUGCGCAGAGAUAUGGAGGAACACCAGUGGCAAAGGCGACUUUCUGGUCUGUAACUGACGCUGAUGUGCGAAAGCGUGGGGAUCAAACAGGAUUAGAUACCCUGGUAGUCCACGCCGUAAACGAUGAGUGCUAAGUGUUAGGGGGUUUCCGCCCCUUAGUGCUGCAGCUAACGCAUUAAGCACUCCGCCUGGGGAGUACGACCGCAAGGUUGAAACUCAAAGGAAUUGACGGGGACCCGCACAAGCGGUGGAGCAUGUGGUUUAAUCCGAAGCAACGCGAAGAACCUUACCAAAUCUUGACAUCCUUUGAAAACUCUAGAGAUAGAGCCUUCCCCUUCGGGGGACAAAGUGACAGGUGGUGCAUGGUUGUCGUCAGCUCGUGUCGUGAGAUGUUGGGUUAAGUCCCGCAACGAGCGCAACCCUUAAGCUUAGUUGCCAUCAUUAAGUUGGGCACUCUAGGUUGACUGCCGGUGACAAACCGGAGGAAGGUGGGGAUGACGUCAAAUCAUCAUGCCCCUUAUGAUUUGGGCUACACACGUGCUACAAUGGACAAUACAAAGGGCAGCUAAACCGCGAGGUCAUGCAAAUCCCAUAAAGUUGUUCUCAGUUCGGAUUGUAGUCUGCAACUCGACUACAUGAAGCUGGAAUCGCUAGUAAUCGUAGAUCAGCAUGCUACGGUGAAUACGUUCCCGGGUCU